AUCUCAGCUCCUUGGAGGUCUGAGGUGGGAGGACAGCUCCAGUCCAGGAGGUUCAAGGCUUCGGUAAGCCUGGGCAACAGAGUGAGACCGUCUCGAGAAACAAAAACAAAACCAAAAAACCCAACCAAAAGCAGCAUUACCCAGAACCUAUCUACUUUAGAACCGUAGCAUGCCCUGUCUGCUCCUGCUGCACCUAAUACCAGAGGGAACUGCGCCAACUCCAAAUUAAAAACAUUAUCAGUGAUCAGAAACAAAAGUUCCAUUAUCAGAAUCUUUCAAAGCUCAGUAAUAGCUUAAACUCCUGGCUUCUUAAAGGAUUAGUAACACUUUGAUAUCUAUGUAUAUUUGGCUUCACAGAGGAGAACCAAAUGACAUUACCUUGAAAAUCUAGGACUAAGGGACCUUGUGAAUACAGAGGGAAACUAUCCAAGGAACAGUCAAGAGCAGUUUUAAUUGAAUGUGCAUUCCGGCAGCCGAUGGACCUCACGUGGACCCUGACUUAUGACUCACCUGAUCCUGUGGCCCCACCCAGAGGUAGACUCAGCACAAGAGGACCGUUUUCUACAUCUCUAUGGUUUCAUCCCCAGUCAGUCAGCAGUACCCACUUCCUAGCCCUUGCCCACCAAACUGUCCAUAAAAACCUUAACCUUUGAUCCUUUGGGGAGUAAUGAUUUGAGUAAUAAUUCCAUCUCUUAUGUGGGUGGCCUCUUGUCAAUUAAAAUGGUAACUUCAAUAACA